rnacentral:rRNA from 1 species
UUGAUGGCGAGUGGCGAACGGGUGAGUAACGCGUAGGAAUAUGCCUUAAAGUGGGGGAUAACUUGGGGAAACCCAAGCUAAUACCGCGUAUGCUCUCCGGAGUAAAGCUAGGGACCUUCGGGCCUGGCGCUUUAAGAAUAGCCUGCGUCUGAUUAGCUAGUUGGUGGGGUAAAGGCCUACCAAGGCGAUGAUCGGUAGCUGGUCUGAGAGGAUGGACAGCCACACUGGGACUGAGACACGGCCCAGACUCC